rnacentral:rRNA from 1 species
GAUGAACGCUGGCGGCGUGCUUAACACAUGCAAGUCGAACGGUGAACACGGAGCUUGCUCUGUGGGAUCAGUGGCGAACGGGUGAGUAACACGUGAGCAACCUGCCCCUGACUCUGGGAUAAGCGCUGGAAACGGCGUCUAAUACUGGAUACGAGUAGCGGCCGCAUGGUCAGUUACUGGAAAGAUUUUUUGGUUGGGGAUGGGCUCGCGGCCUAUCAGCUUGUUGGUGAGGUAAUGGCUCACCAAGGCGUCGACGGGUAGCCGGCCUGAGAGGGUGACCGGCCACACUGGGACUGAGACACGGCCCAGACUCGUACGGGAGGCAGCAGUGGGGAAUAUUGCACAAUGGGCGAAAGCCUGAUGCAGCAACGCCGCGUGAGGGAUGACGGCCUUCGGGUUGUAAACCUCUUUUAGCAGGGAAGAAGCGAAAGUGACGGUACCUGCAGAAAAAGCGCCGGCUAACUACGUGCCAGCCGCCGCCGUAA